UAAUCCCACUAUAUAAAAGAAGCUAAAUUUGAGCUUCCUAAAGCUAUCCACGUGUGCACAAAUAUUCAGGACCAACCAAAGUGCCAGGUCAUCUUUGUGGGCUUGCAAUUUUAAAAAAAAUUGUCACCUACGUGGCCCGUAUGACCCAUCUCUCCCGAGCCUCUCUUCAUACCGUAUUGGUCGCAGCCCAUUACCCAUCUCUUGAUACGGUUCGGGUUACAUCGCUGUCCUCUCUGAAAUAUCAAAAUCACUAACCCUAAUCACCGUUCUCGAUCUCUUUGUCGAUUCUCUUCCUCCCCCAAACUCAUCCCGAUCUCUUUGUCGAUUCUCUUUCUCUCCCCAAAUUUUGAUUUUCUUUAGCGACCAAGGUACUUCAAUGUGCUCUCAUAAAGCCUUCAAUGUUUUCUUCAACCAUGCUGUUGCCUGUUGGUGAUGUUUUCAAUUUAAUAUGUGGAGAGGAUGAGAUCGACUUGGGGAGAGAAGGUUAUUGUUUGGAAUUGAAACCCGAAAAUGGAUUUCACAAUCGUAAGCUCUCACUUCUUUGGGCUCACUUCGUCUUCUUAAAGAGGCUUUAUCGGCUGCGUUGAGGCUGUAUCGUCCGGUGCCAGAGUUCUUCAACCCCGGCUUGAAGGGCGACAAGAUACGACAUGGGACUUUUGUUCCGCAGUGAUGUUUUUGAUUUACUUGGCUGGGAGGAUGAGAACGACUCUGGGAGAUUUUGUUUCGAGUUCAAACCGGAAAGAUUGACUUUGAAAUCGUACGCUCUUAGUAUACAUAAUUAUGGGCCAAUACACACAGAUUACGAUACAAACACAAACACGAAGCUCAGCAUUAGAGUUUCAGCCCCGGAGAUUCAACAGCAACUAAAGUUGUUACUUGGCUUUCUAUUUCCUGAAGCACAGAACGUAGUAUAUAAAAGGAAACAGGAAUACACUUUGCAAAUAUUCUCUGUGUCUUUGGAUUAAUCUAUAAUCUUGUGAUGUAGAUAGAUACAAAAGCUUCUUACGGAUCUCCAUGGAGAAUUCAUGAAGGUAACCUGAAACAACUCUCUAUCUCUUGCAAGUGGAUGCCAGACUAAUGUCAUAGUUUGGUAAAAUUCCAGAUUAAGUUUUGGUGAAUGACGUUGUGUUUUGUACAGAAGAUAAGAACUCAUGUUCGUUAUGGGAAGCAGUUAUCACAAUACAACCUUGCUUAUCGAAUUUUCAUCAAGUAAUAUUACAUGAUUUAUAAUUAGUUGUGUAUUUUAUGACUUUUUAUAAGUGUGGUUGACGAUAAAAAUGACAAGCUAUCACAAAAGAUGCCUCAAGUUCUGGUAUUUUAGAUAUGAGACUCUCUGGACCUUUAAUAUGUGAUAAUGUAUCGAAGUUUUAAGUCUUCUUCCGACAAUACUCUAAUUCGAUUUUGUCGUGUAUCGAUACAUUUCCUGAAGGGCUUACUCGGAAGCUUCCAGUUACCAACAAGUAUGUGAAGCCAAUAUGUAUAGGAUUUGGAGAGGCGGAGGACCACGACCUUGAAAAUCUGAAGAAACAGCUCGAAGAUGAUGAUCUCAUCAGAGGUACAAUAACUGCGGAACAUCAAGGCAGUGAAGGUACACAUAUGAAUCCGGCUCCUGUGUUUAGAAUCAAGAAACAAAGUUCCUUCGCGUCAAAGGCUUGUGUGCGAGUCUCUUCAGUGCUCUCUUUGGCUUUCUUAUGUUCGAUUCACACAAGUAUUGGUCUUCCACAACAAAGACUCAUCCACAUUAUUACAUGUUCUGCUAUAAACCUUUUCUUUUACCUCUAGGCUCAUUGUCAAUACCAAAAUACAGCUGCGUUUUGACCUUGAUUAGGUGUGAUUGUGACUCUCUUUCACUUC